rnacentral:rRNA from 1 species
UCUUACCUACGGGGCGCAGCAGUGGGGGAUAUUGGACAAUGGGGGGAACCCUGAUCCAGCGACGCCGCGUGAGUGAAGAAGUAUUUCGGUAUGUAAAGCUCUAUCAGCAGGGAAGAAAGGAAUGACGGUACCUGACUAAGAAGCCCCGGCUAACUACGUGCCAGCAGCCGCGGUAAUACGUAGGGGGCAAGCGUUAUCCGGAUUUACUGGGUGUAAAGGGAGCGUAGACGGCGAUGCAAGUCUGAAGUGAAAGGCGGGGGCCCAACGCCCGGACUGCUUUGGAAACUG